UUUUCAGUCAAUCACAUUAACCCAUUCCAACAGCACUGUAGCUUCGACGAAUCCCAGAGUUUAGUCCUCGGCCUGGCUUCUGGCAGCGGAAUCUGAGGCAUGAAAUCCUACAUCCUGUGAAAGAACCUGAUCCACCAGGACUCCGUCCUCCAUGGACCAUCCAUGUCUAUUUUAAAGGAUUCCCAGACCUUUUGGGAUGCUGAACAUGUUUGUUUUGAACAUUUUAAUAAAGAACUGAAGUACUG